AUUGUUCAACCCCAAACCCAGAAUUUCUGAUUAGGAGAUCUAUUUUUGUUAUUGAAGUAUAGUUGAUACACAAUAUUAUAUUGGUUUCGAGCAUACAACACUGUGGUUCAACAGUUACAUGCAUUAUUAAAUCCUCACCCCCACUAGUGCAGUUACCAUCUGUCAACAUAGGAAAAUGUUACAGAAUCAUUGGCUGUAUUCUCCAGGCUGCACUUCCAUCCCUGUGGCCAGCUUAUAUUUGAUUGAGAUUUUCAUGCCCCUUUAUCUCCACCUCCUCCUCCCCACUCACCUGCCCCAACCCCUCCCCCAUGGUGAUCACCGGUCACUCUUCAGUGUCUCUGAGUCUACUGCUGUUUGGUUCAUUUGUUUUCUUUGUUUUAAGGUGGAGUGCAAGAGUUUGCAUUUCUAGCAUGUUCCAGGUAAUGGGGCUCCAUACUUUAAGAAACACUGUAGAGACAGCUCUAUAAAUAAGAAGCCAACAGUACCCAAAGUUGGAGUGCAUUUAAAGAAAAAUGUUUUUGAUGAGCUGAGUGAAUGAACUGUCAUGGUGCCAAGACCUGCUGAAGUGGGAUUGCUGGAUCAUAUGGUAUAAAGCUGUAGUCACCAAAAUAAUAUGGUAAUGACAUAAAAACAGAAUGAAACAGAGAUGAAAUGGAACAGAAAUAAGCCUAAGCAUAUGCAGUCAACUAAUAUUUGACAAGGAAGCCAAGAAUACUCAACAGAGAAAAGCCAGACUCUUCAAUAAAUUGUUCUGUGCUGCAGCAGAAGAGCUCUCCACCCAACCUCUCCAGUCUAGAUAAAACCUCACAGGACCUUGGAACUACCUAUUGAUAUGCAGAUGGCCUAAUCUCUCCACUAGGCCGAUGAACUAAAGCCCCUGGGAACUUCCUAGCCUGGAGUUCAUGUCCCUCCGUACAGCUGCUGUCCAUUUGUUCCAGGU